GUAGGCAUUUUAUCAUCUCACAUCAUCACAAGAAGACACUCCCUUCAUGGGGUCCAAAGCCCUGAGCCAAACCUCUUCAUAGCUAAAAGCCGCAACCUGAGCACAGAAUCAGAAUGAACCAAAUCGAGUGGGCUGAACACCUCAUCACUGCAAGAACUUUCUAUCUCUGCCUGAGAGAUCUCCAGCCUGUGGCGACAUGCUGGUCACCAUAGAGACCUGAAAAGCACCCUUGUCUCAUUGGUACCACAUUUACAAACCAACCCUUAAGGUGGAUUACUUUGCAGAUGGCUGCUCUCAUCUAUUCAAUGUUGAUUCUAUUAGUUCGGAUUUCAGAAAGUGACAUUUUCUGACCUUGUCCCCUUAAGCACAAGCAAAAACUUUGGCUUCCUUUUUUUUUUUUUUUUUUUGGAAG